GAGUGUCUCCGCCCGGCAGCCACCCCGUCCGGGAGGGAGGUGGGGGUCAGCCCCCGCCAGGCCAGCCGCCCUGUCCGGGAGGUGAGGGGCGCCUCUGCCCGGCAGCCCCUACUGGGAAGUGAGGAGCCCCCCGCCCGGCCAGCCGCCCCGUCCGGGAGGGAGGUGGGGGGGUCAGCCCCCCGCCCGGCCAGCCGCCCCGCCCGGGAGGUGAGGGGCGCCUCUGCCCGGCCGCCCCUACUGGGAAGUGAGGAGCCCCUCUGCCCGGCCA
rnacentral:lncRNA from 1 species